GAUGAACGCUGGCGGCGUGCGUAAUACAUGCAAGUCGAGCGAACAGAUAAGGAGCUUGCUCCUUUGACGUUAGCGGCGGACGGGUGAGUAACACGUGGAUAACCUACCUAUAAGACUGGGAUAACUUCGGGAAACCGGAGCUAAUACCGGAUAACAUAUUGAACCGCAUGGUUCAAUAGUGAAAGGCGGCUUUGCUGUCACUUAUAGAUGGAUCCGCGCCGUAUUAGCUAGUUGGUAAGGUAACGGCUUACCAAGGCAACGAUACGUAGCCGACCUGAGAGGGUGAUCGGCCACACUGGAACUGAGACACGGUCCAGACUCCUACGGGAGGCAGCAGUAGGGAAUCUUCCGCAAUGGGCGAAAGCCUGACGGAGCAACGCCGCGUGAGUGAUGAAGGUCUUCGGAUCGUAAAACUCUGUUAUCAGGGAAGAACAAAUGUGUAAGUAACUGUGCACAUCUUGACGGUACCUGAUCAGAAAGCCACGGCUAACUACGUGCCAGCAGCCGCGGUAAUACGUAGGUGGCAAGCGUUAUCCGGAAUUAUUGGGCGUAAAGCGCGCGUAGGCGGUUUUUUAAGUCUGAUGUGAAAGCCCACGGCUCAACCGUGGAGGGUCAUUGGAAACUGGAAAACUUGAGUGCAGAAGAGGAAAGUGGAAUUCCAUGUGUAGCGGUGAAAUGCGCAGAGAUAUGGAGGAACACCAGUGGCGAAGGCGACUUUCUGGUCUGUAACUGACGCUGAUGUGCGAAAGCGUGGGGAUCAAACAGG
rnacentral:rRNA from 1 species